rnacentral:rRNA from 1 species
GACGAACGCUGGCGGCGUGCCUAAUACAUGCAAGUAGAACGCACAGUUUAUACCGUAGCUUGCUACACCAUAGACUGUGAGUUGCGAACGGGUGAGUAACGCGUAGGUAACCUGCCUGGUAGCGGGGGAUAACUAUUGGAAACGAUAGCUAAUACCGCAUAAUAUUAAUUAUUGCAUGAUAAUUAAUUGAAAGGUGCAAUUGCACCACUACCAGAUGGACCUGCGUUGUAUUAGCUAGUAGGUGAGGUAACGGCUCACCUAGGCGACGAUACAUAGCCGACCUGAGAGGGUGAUCGGCCACACUGGGACUGAGACACGGCCCAGACUCCUACGGGAGGCAGCAGUAGGGAAUCUUCGGCAAUGGACGAAAGUCUGACCGAGCAACGCCGCGUGAGUGAAGAAGGUUUUCGGAUCGUAAAGCUCUGUUGUAAGAGAAGAACGGGUGUGAGA